AAAAAGUCGGAGUCGUUCCUUAUUCCACGGAAUAUCUUCGUAUCGUCAGCAAAACUUAUCAUGCGAGUACCAGUGGAUACUUGCAUGUGGUUCACGAACAUCUAAAAUAAUAUUGGCCUCAAGACAACCUUCGAAGUCACCGGUUUUCCAUCAGAAUGAACGGUAUUCAUGACAACCCUCCGUUUCCUUUUGUUUAGCCAUGGACCAACUUGUUAUCCAGUCUGCCGAUACCGGACGGCUUCCUUCAAUUUGUUUAUGAGUACAUGAUGGGGAACAUGUCAAACGCCUUCGAAAGAUCGAGAUAUUUUGCGCCCACUACUGGUGUUUUAUCUUCCAAUCUACUCGUCACGAAUGAGGAAUGAUCUUUAAAGUGGCUCACGUCAUAUCAAUAUUCAAAGGGGGUGACAAAUCCAACCCAGCCAAUUACCGACCUAUAUCACUCACAUCCAAUAUUUCCAUGGUAUUUGAAAAAGUCAUGAAGGCUAAGCUGGUACAAUAUUUAGAUAGCAUUGACAUUAUACCCUCGGGGCAACACGGCUUCCGUUCUCGUCACAGUACCAUUACCCAAUUGAUUCAGCAUUUCGACAAUAUUAUAACAAAAUCACAAACUUAUGACUCGGUGGAUGUAAUAUAUCUAGAUUUUGCGAAGGCCUUCGACAAAGUGGACCACGGGCUCUUACUUCAGCGUUUAGUAUCAACUGGUGUCCAUGGGAAAGUGCUUAAUUUCAUAAAAGGGUUUUUAAAAGAGUGUAAGCAAUAUAUUAGAGUGGAUAAUACGCUAAGUAACGUGU